GCUUCAACAAUUGUUGUGAGCCUGUGAAGCACAGGUAAGCACAGGGGGAUUAUGCCUCACUGCCAGCUGAACUUUGCAGGCUACAGAUAGUUUACAGCUACCUUUCUGCUUUUUAAAAUAUGAGACUGAGAGAAGAAAAAAAAGCAACAAGCAGUGAAUACAACUUGUUUCCUAACCUUCCUUCCAGACCAUCACUGAACCACUAAUGCUCUGUUAUACUGAAAUAAUGUGAAAGAUGUUUGCUUUUAGCUGGGAAAAAGCCUGAGAUUAGUCAUGAAAGCUUUUGUGGAAUCAUAUGACAGUAGAUCAUGUAGUACCUUACUAGGAUAUUUUGGAAAUUAUUUUCUCAUUCUGUACCCUUCUGUGGAAUUACUUGCCAUAAUAAAUAACUCAUUGUAUUAGUAUUUUAAAUUAACACAGUAACAUUUUUGCUAAAGCCCAUUAAAUUUAAGAACUAGGCCUAUUUGAGCAGGCUAAAUCAAAGGCCAGGAUGUAUCACUCACUUACUUCCUGGAGGAUUACUGACCUCCUCAGGUGCUGCUAUCAACAGCUCAUGAGGCAGAAGAGUGAGUGAUUCUAGCACUGACAAGCACAAGAUCCUCCCCUUAGUGGCUUCAGGUAAUGAUGGAAACCUUCCCUCAUUGUGGGAGCCCCCCUUUAUUAUGGUCAGCACAUUACAGGCUCACAAAUGGGCUGAGGGAUGAGAGGGAGGGGGUUGUCUGGCCCCUAGCCUGGCUGAGCCAAGUGCUGCAGCAGGCACAGGGAUAAGCGGGGGGUCUAAGGAUACUCUCCCCACCCACUGCCCUCAUUGGACAACUGCUUCCAUGAGCGACCUGCAAAAAAAUCUGCUCCAGUACCUGCUCCUCUCCUCUUCCUUGCUCUCCCAGUUCACUGGGCUCCCUUUCCAUCACCAGUUUUCUGGUCUAGCAAUAGGGCUGGAAGUGCCUCAUGGAAGCAGAGCCAAAGGCAGGGGAGCACAGAUGCUCCCUGGGAAGCACCAGGAGCUUGAGGGACAAUUCCCAGCUUCAGCUGAUCCUCCCUCUUGAUAAACCCCUUUCCUCAGCACUUUUAAGCACACAGACAACGCCAAGGGUUUUGAUAUUUAAUCCUGAUGUUUUGUGGAAUGGGUUUGGUCCUGCAAUCUAUUAUGUAACCCUGCCAGUAAAGCAGGCAGAGACCUGUCCCCCACCGCUUUGUCAGCAAUGUACCUGCCAGGAGAUGGCGAGGCCAGGAAGCAGAACAGCCUACAAAGGUAAGGAGGCACGGAUUGGUUACCUGGUGGGGUUACCUGUUGGCACAGGGGCACCACAGUCACAGAGCUGGGAUGGGGCUGGGCCAGCAGCUCUGUGCAGCACUGACCAAACUGGCUGGGGCAUCCUCCAGCCAAGGUGAACCUCAGACCUCCCACAGGCCCAACUCUGAAGUCAGCACGACUCAGUUUGAUCUAUCUAUUAUUUCCCCAGGAUAUUAUUCUCAAACUUCUGCUUCAGGACAUACCCAACAAUAAUCCUCUCCUCCAAAAAAGGGUUGUGUCAACUACUGGCUUCACACUUCUGUGAUAUGAAGUGAAAACACACAGGCUGUGUCAGACUGCACAGGGAGAGAAAGAUGGGGAAGGUGAGUGGAAAGGUGAGUUCAUGGUACAGCCACACUAAAGCUUUUAAACUCUAAGGCCAAGUCCCCAGGUCCCAGGACCUGCAGAGCUCAGAGCAGUACUGCUGGCAGCUUUUGGAAAUUGAACACAAAGUCUCAGUGAAUCUGGAGACCUCCCACACUCCUGCAACCUUCCCAUCUCACUGACCUGGGGAGCAGCAGCAAUCCCAGGCUGGCAGGGCCAGUCUUCCCUUUGUGAGACAACUACACCAGUGACAUCCACUGCUGUCGGUGCCUUGGCACCAGGAUGCAAGCAAGACACCUUCUUCUGGGAUCUUUAAAAUUCAGCCUUGCAAAGCUCUU